GGCCAGCAUGAUGUACUGGUUUAAGUGUUGGACUACAACUCUGGAGACCAGGGUUCAAUUCCCAGCUUGGCCA
rnacentral:tRNA from 1 species